rnacentral:rRNA from 1 species
UUUUAUUAGUUUCUAUUUAUUAGGUUGAAUAAUAUUGAUUGAGUUAAUUUUUGUUGGGGUGACAUUUAAAUUUUAUUUGGUUUUAAAAUACGAUAAAAAUACUUUUUAAUUUAUAAUAAUUUAUUUAAAAUGAUCCAAUAAUAUUGAUCUUAGGACUAAGUUACCUUAGGGUUAACAGCAUAAUCUCUUUUGAGAGUUCUUAUCGACGAAGAGGAUUGUGACCUCGAUGUUGGAUUA